GUCGAACGGUGAUGCCAAGCUUGCUUGGUGGAUCAGUGGCGAACGGGUGAGUAACACGUGAGCAACCUGCCCUGGACUCUGGGAUAAGCGCUGGAAACGGCGUCUAAUACUGGAUAUGAGCUCUCAUCGCAUGGUGGGGGUUGGAAAGAUUUUUUGGUCUGGGAUGGGCUCGCGGCCUAUCAGCUUGUUGGUGAGGUAAUGGCUCACCAAGGCGUCGACGGGUAGCCGGCCUGAGAGGGUGACCGGCCACACUGGGACUGAGACACGGCCCAGACUCCUACGGGAGGCAGCAGUGGGGAAUAUUGCACAAUGGGCGGAAGCCUGAUGCAGCAACGCCGCGUGAGGGAUGACGGCCUUCGGGUUGUAAACCUCUUUUAGCAGGGAAGAAGCGAGAGUGACGGUACCUGCAGAAAAAGCGCCGGCUAACUACGUGCCAGCAGCCGCGGUAAUACGUAGGGCGCAAGCGUUAUCCGGAAUUAUUGGGCGUAAAGAGCUCGUAGGCGGUUUGUCGCGUCUGCUGUGAAAUCCCGAGGCUCAACCUCGGGCCUGCAGUGGGUACGGGCAGACUAGAGUGCGGUAGGGGAGAUUGGAAUUCCUGGUGUAGCGGUGGAAUGCGCAGAUAUCAGGAGGAACACCGAUGGCGAAGGCAGAUCUCUGGGCCGUAACUGACGCUGA
rnacentral:rRNA from 1 species